rnacentral:pre_miRNA from 1 species
AAUAAAUUAAUUUUUUAGUUUUUACCUACGAUGUUUGACUCUCCGUCUUAUUUAAAAAUUUAUGAUUAAUAUUUUUAUUUUUAUUAGAUGACAAAACAUGAAUAAUAUUUUACGUGUGGCCAAAUUUUCUAAUUUUUUCUAAUAAUAUUUAAAUAAAACAGAUAGUCAAAGCUGGACACAAAACU